rnacentral:tRNA from 1 species
GGCCUGUUAGCUCAGUUGGUUAGAGUGUCGUGCUAAUAACGCGAAUGUCGUGGGUUCGACCCCCACACGGGCCA